rnacentral:rRNA from 1 species
GAUGAACGCUGGCGGCGUGCCUAAUACAUGCAAGUCGAGCGAACAGAUAAGGAGCUUGCUCCUUUGACGUUAGCGGCGGACGGGUGAGUAACACGUGGGUAACCUACCUAUAAGACUGGGAUAACUUCGGGAAACCGGAGCUAAUACCGGAUAACAUUUGGAACCGCAUGGUUCUAAAGUGAAAGAUGGUUUUGCUAUCACUUAUAGAUGGACCCGCGCCGUAUUAGCUAGUUGGUAAGGUAACGGCUUACCAAGGCAACGAUACGUAGCCGACCUGAGAGGGUGAUCGGCCACACUGGAACUGAGACACGGUCCAGACUCCCACGGGAGGCAGCAGUAGGGAAUCUUCCGCAAUGGGCGAAAGCCUGACGGAGCAACGCCGCGUGAGUGAUGAAGGGUUUCGGCUCGUAAAACUCUGUUAUUAGGGAAGAACAAACGUGUAAGUAACUGUGCACGUCUUGACGGUACCUAAUCAGAAAGCCACGGCUAACUACGUG